rfam:Myotis davidii contig214723, whole genome shotgun sequence.
GGAGGUUCUCGGGAGAUGCAUCCCAUAAUCAGGCUCCCUCCUCUCUGGUUCUGGGGUGCUUCACCCAAGAACUGCU